AAACCAUGUUGAGGGUACUUCCGCAAAAGAUCCUUGAACCAUUCCCAUGUCUCAAACAAUGAUUCUAGCUCCAUCUGAAUAUAUGAAGAGAUCUCAUUGUAAAGCUU